CAUCAUUUCUACUUCCUACUGGCAUAACUGGUUAUGCCAGAAGACUUUUUCCAGGAGGAGAAGCUGCUCUAUAUUCAGUUAAUCUCUUCUAUAUGCAAUCAGAAAUGUGAACAAUUUCUCUAAAGUAAUAAUUGAUUUGGAACAUUUUUUUUUUCAUUUUGGAAAAAUGCCUUAAAGCGGAAUUCUAACCCUAUUUAGUCAGAAUUUAUAUCAUAGUAAAUGCAACAAUUAUAUUACUACCAAAAUGAGAGGUCAUAUAAAUAAAGCAGUACAAAAUGACAUCACACUAUAAGGAAAAUAAAUAAAGAGUCGAUGCAAAGAAGAUAGCUUCCAUAGAUACAGCAUUUACGUUUCUUAUUCUUAAGGCUCAUUUCAGUUUCUUUACUUUGAAAAGCACAGCUAAAAUGGUGUAUAUGAAGACACUAAAAAAGAAAGAGCAUCUUCCAGAUUCCACAAGCCAAAUUGUAGUAUUUUGUUUUACUGCAACCAGUAUUUAGCAGAUAAUUUAUGAAAGCAUACAACUCUACCUAUUUUGAUGUAAAAUAGAUGCCAGAAAAAUAAAUAUAAUGGCAAUGACAUAAUAGUAUUGUCGCAGACUCCUAUGAAAGUAAUUUGGUUUUGUGUGUGAAUACACUUUCAAGUCAAUGUUGACUCCUUGCCACUCAAUGAUGGAUUGACAGACCUGUGGAAUAUGAAAGUCAUAAAUUCCCUCUUAGAAUGACUAGACUAGCAAAGAAAAAGUAAUAAUAAUGGUUUUAAAAUAUGGUUUGGCAUUUGUUGAAAAAUAUGUAAUGCCAUUUCAUAGCUUCAUGGACAAUUCACAGGAGAACUGAGAUGGAGAAAAUUUCAUUUAUAUAUGAGUUUUAUAUUCUAUCAAUGGAGCAAUAAUUUGAAUAUUUCACAUUUAAUUGAUGUAGUAUAUUUUACACAGGGGAAAACAUCUGACAUCUAUUUCAGUUGGUCAUGUAGUUCAAAGGGCAAAAAUUGCUUAUUUAUAUGGUGUAUUUCCAUAAAAUUAAUUAGAAUCAUAAUACCGUUAAAACUGAAAAGUCACUAGAAGAAAUAUGAUUCAACCAAUUAAACAUUCAAAAGACACAUUUCUGCAAAGCUAGCAAAGGAUGAAUGGAUGGAUGAGCUUUAUAGUGAUAUGUCACCAUGAUUCGGCUUCUGGUGCUUUUCACAUAUUUUGGAUCAUAAUUUCCCAUCAGUAGAAAUGUUUUACCUCUGGCAAACAACUAGUGGUUACAUUGGCUUGUCACGUAAUAUUAUUCUGCAUAAGGUAACAGCAUACUUAAAUUAGAUUCAAAUUAAGUAUUUGAAGCAGAGAAAAUAUGGCACAUAACAGUGAGUUGCAUCCAUUGUAUAAUGGCAAAGAUACAACGUAAAUAAUACAAGGUCUAUCUCUGGUAAACCUUGAGGAUUAUUUCAUACCAGGAGAGAGAAAAUCCUUUUCAGGGCUUUAAACUAAAUGCCAAAUGACUGCCAGGACAUUAUAAAUAUACAAAAUAAAUCUAGAAGGACUUAUUAGCUGUGUUUACACAACAUGCUAAAUCCAGAUUAAGAAAAUGCAAUCGUUGUUUUGACGGAACAUGUUAUACCCAACAAAUAAACCAUAUUAUGGAUUAGUAUACAUCCUGUUUUCCAAAACAAUGGCUCGGUUCCAAAACACAAUGAAGCAAAAAUUAUUUAAUCUUAUUUUAAUUUGGCAUGAGCAUGAAUUUAGCUCUAUUUUGUUUUUUAUUAUUAUUCAAACUUUUAAAAGGAAGAGAUAAUUAAAGCCCUUACGCUCCAAAAGGCAUGCUUCAAAUUGGUAAAGAAAAAGAAGAACAAGGUAGAAUUGGUAAUAUGGAGACAGUAGGAUAUCAAAAAUAAAUGUUAAAUUUGGACUAGAGAAAUUAAUCUUCUGUGCUACUAUUAACAUGAUUUGGUGGGUGAAGACUAUCACAUGGUUUUUCUUUCAUCUCAAAGGGGUUUUGUUUUAAAUGCUAUAUUCUUGAAAAAAAGACGAAGGCUAUUGUGAUAUCAGCUAUUUCACAUUAACCAAUACAUUCAUUAAACUUUUCUCAUGCCGUACAGUCUACAAUCUACCACUCAUAAUUUUAUUAUAAAAACUACCUUGCCCCUAGAAUCUGGUCACAAUUGUGAAAGUUUGGAGAAAUAAUUUCUAAAUCUGCUUUUUAAACCCACUUUUUUUCUUUAGAAGUAGUUGUUAUUUACAUGGAUAUAUUUUCCCAUCAAUAAAUUAUAUUUUUCCAUAGGAGCAAGAGAGCUACUUUGGUGUAGUGGUAGGCAAUGGCAAACCAAUUCCUAAAAACCUUGCCAAGAAAAUUGCAAUCAUUUGCCUGGGCAGCCAUCAGAAGUUAACACUGACACACAGGGACAAAAAAAAGGAGAGAAACCUAAUAUAAAAAUAUAAAUCCUUAUCCAAGCAAUAACACAUUGUAGCAAAUAAAUACACAUUUACCUUUAUAAACAUCAAUCUUGAUUAUGUCAUGCACGCUUUCUAUCUAAACCAGAUCAACUAAAUUACUUAAUAUCCUCGGGCAGAUACAAACCUGAGGUUUCAACUGCAGCAACCAAAUGCUUGUCUUCUGCCAAUUAUUCUUGUUAAGAUCUAAAUCAAGUUUAAAGCAGUUAGGGGGAAAGAUUUACAGAUUAUUGCUCUUAUUUAUUCACCUUUCACUGCUUAGAAGAUUUUAAUGUUUUAAAACAGGUAUGAUAAAGAUGCUUUGAAUUAAAUUCAGCUCUUGGAGAUGGCAUUUGUGUAAGUUUCUUCACAUCGUUCCAUUUCUACUUCCAAGUCUGCUCAGUCUUCUUCCAAAGCUUUUUUCUUAAUUCCCUCAUCCAGCCAACAGACUUGGAAUUCCCAAAUGGUCCUUAAUCCAAGCCAAUUGGGGCCAACCCUGCCUAACUUCCAAGAUAAAUAGAAUGUUUACUCUUUAAAUCAAUGCUUCUCUUUGGUUUAAAGAGACAACUUUUAAGAUAUGUGGACUUCAACUCCCAGAAUUCCCCAGCCAUCAUGGUUGAGAAGCACUGCUUUAAACAAACAGGCUGUAGCAGUUUCCCAUUAAAUAAAGAUCAAUUCUGAAAAACAACAGAGUGCAAGUGAUGGGGUGAUGCAUCACCUUAUAAAUAAUGCAUGAUAACAGCAGAGAAUAAAUGAAGGGAUUAAGAUUUCAGAUACUAAAAUCAACACUCCCCAGAAAACAUACAAAAGAUUAGAUAUGACUGUUAUUUUAAUUGGCAGUCUAUCAGUUUUAACUUCAGAAAGGUGAUGAGGAUUUGCUUCUCAUUAAUUUCGCUAUGAUUUCAUGAAAUGAUGAUGCCAUUAAAAAUGAAGAUUACUGACCCCCAUGUAAUAUACUAAACCCAUUAUGACAGCUUACAAGUAGCAUCCAAAGAAAAAAGGAGAGGGGAGAGUAAAUGAAAUUUUCCAAGCUACUUCUUUGCAUCAGUAAGAGUUGAGCAGCCUGGUUUCUUCCCUCAUUAGGAGUACUAUUUGUCACCAAAUUUAACAACUGGAACAGAAAAGGAUUAUCUGACCAAGAUGCAGAAAUAGCUUUAUAUUUUAAUUGAUGGUUUGAUUACUAUAUGUAGUUUCAGCAUUAAUAACAUUUAAGUGCUAUUCUAAAUGUUACAAGUAGUCAUUGACUCAUAAACUUUUGCUUAGUGACCUAUCAGGGUUACAACAGCACUGAAAAAAAUGAGUUAUGACCGUUUUUCACUUAUGACCUUUGCAGCAUCCCCAUGGUCACUUAAUCAAAAUUCAGUAACUGGCAUGUAUUUAUGACAGUUGCAGUUUGGGGGGGAGGUGUCAUGUGAUCACCAUGUUUAACUUUCCCAACUGGCUUCCAACAAGCAAAAUCAAUGGGAGAAACCAGAUUUGCUUAAUGGCUGCUGUGAUUUGCUAAACAACUGUGGCAAAAAAGUGGUAAAAUGGGGCACAACUCACUAACUGCCUUGUUUAGUAACAGAAAUUUUGGGUUCAAUUGUGGUCAUCUGUUGAGGAUUACCUGUACUGAGUAGUAAUUUCAGAGGCUGAAAUGCAAUUGGGAAAAAGUGACUUCUCUCCAUUAGCCUAAAAAAGCAGAUUUAGAAAUUAUUGCCCCAAACUUUCACAAUAAGAAAAUGAUAUAAGUCCUGAUUUCAAGACUAGUGCCGAGAUUUGGUUAGUUGUCUUCAACACACUGAUGAAAUUCAUCAUACUAAUUUUACUUAUCAACAGAGACUGCAAUCCUCUUUGUUACAAUACAGAAGGGGAUUGCCGUUGCAUCUUUCUAAGAGAUGUCUUAAAUCUUUCAUCCACCUACUAACCAAGCCCUACCCAUUUUAGCUUCUGAGCCCAGACAGGUGCAACAAGUUACCUGUGGACAAGGGCAGUGUAUAUUAGACUUCUAAUUUAACUCACAUAUAUGUUCUGGUGGAAAAAUAAAAUAAGUGCCAAUAGUGUCAAUGCAUAACAACUAAUUCCCCUUACAUGAUAUUUGCACAUGAGCCCUUUUCACCACAUUUUCAUUGUUCAGCUCAAAUCCCUAUUGUUAAAUGUUAAGAGCCUCAAAGUACAGAAGUUUCUCUGAACAUGAAGAAAAUACUUUUCUUCUCACCAUUGUGUUAAAAUUAACUCCUCUACCUGUGCACACAUGUUAGAGAGUAAAUGGAAACAAUCUGGAGACGCCUCAAACCCUGGCAUUUCUCAUGGCAGCUGUUCAAAGCCUUUUUGGAAUUAAGUGGCACAUAAAUUGCAAGAAUAAAUACAUAACUGGCCAAAAUUGAGAACUAAGUAUAGCAUUCUCCUGAGCUCCUGAUGUAAUUGAACAGUUACCAGCCCAGGAAUAUUCUUAAAAGAGAGGCAUACCCUUGGAUAUGUGCAGAGUGAGACACAUCUCAGACAUUAGAUACCAAAAGAGCUUCAAGAAAAAGCUUCUGCAUAAAAGAUGGGAGAGACACUAACAGUCAGUAAAUGGUCUUGAUCUAAAUACAGCUCUUCUAUUUCAAGAUCACAGGUAGCCAGUGCAAUGAUUUAAGGACUGGUGGAAUGAAAUAUCAUAUAGCAGCUCCAUUUAUAUUGCCAUGACCUAGGAAACAGACAAUGACUGAAUGUGAAGAAGCUGUUCCAACAGGACUUAUGGAAUGCCAACUUCAGGACAAACAAACUCAAUCAUAAGAGACAAAUCAAACAAAGGCAUUAUCUAAGUAGCUGAAGAAGUCAGAUGAGGGUGACAACAUAAGAUCUACCAGCCCCCAUAACCCAGCAAGCAGACGGAAAUGAAAGAGACAUUUCUAUAUCUUCCUUGCCAAGCACAAAAUACAUUUCUUGAUUAAAGGCAGCCCUGAUUCAUGAUCCCUUGGAAGCAACUAUCUAUCUAACCUUUAGCUUUUGUAUGGUACUUAUAUGUGGAUUCUGCUCAUGAAAUUCUGACCUGGAUCUUGGAUCUCUGGGCUGGAUUUGGACUACCCUGCUGUAAUGCUGCCAUUAAAGAAAACUUCUUUCAGA